rnacentral:rRNA from 1 species
GAUGAACGCUAGCGGGAGGCUUAACACAUGCAAGUCGAGGGGUAACAUGAUGUAGCAAUACGUUGAUGACGACCGGCGCACGGGUGAGUAACGCGUAUGCAACCUACCCUGUACAGGGGGAUAGCCCGGAGAAAUUCGGAUUAAUACCCCAUAAAGAUAUUAUGAGGCAUCUUGUAAUAUUUAAAGUUUCGGCGGUACGGGAUGGGCAUGCGUAACAUUAGCUAGUUGGUAGGGUAAUAGCCUACCAAGGCAACGAUGUUUAGGGGUCCUGAGAGGGUGAUCCCCCACACUGGUACUGAGACACGGACCAGACUCCUACGGGAGGCUG